rnacentral:rRNA from 1 species
GACGAACGCUGGCGGCGUGCUUAACACAUGCAAGUCGAACGGAAAGGCCCUGCGUUUGUGGGGUGCUCGAUUGGCGAACGGGUGAGUAACACGUGAGUAACCUGCCCUUGACUUUGGGAUAACUUCAGGAAACUGGGGCUAAUACCGGAUAGGAGCUCCUGCUGCAUGGUGUGGGUUGGAAAGUUUCGGCGGUUGGGGAUGGACUCGCGGCUUAUCAGCUUGUUGGUGGGGUAGUGGCUUACCAAGGCUUUGAAGGGUAGCCGGCCUGAGAGGGUGACCGGCCACAUUGGGACUGAGAUACGGCCCAGACUCCUACGGGAGGCAGCAGUGGGGAAUAUUGCACAAUGGGCGGAAGCCUGAUGCAGCAACGCCGCGUGCGGGAUGACGGCCUUCGGGUUGUAAACCGAUUUCGACUGUGACGAAGCGUGAGUGACGGUAAUGGGUAAAGAAGCACCGGCUAACUACGUG